UACGAAGGGGGCUAGCGUUGCUCGGAAUCACUGGGCGUAAAGGGUGCGUAGGCGGGUCUUUUAAGUCAGGGGUGAAAUCCUGGAGCUCAACUCCAGAACUGCCUUUGAUACUGAGGAUCUUGAGUUCGGGGGAGGUGAGUGGAACUGCGAGUGUAGAGGUGAAAUUCGUAGAUAUUCGCAAGAACACCAGUGGCGAAGGCGGCUCACUGGCCCGAUACUGACGCUGAGGCACGAAAGCGUGGGGAGCAAACAGGG
rnacentral:rRNA from 1 species